CACAGGUUUUUUCCCCUGUAAUUGAUUAGUGUAGCUAACUGUUAAGCUAAUUAAGCAGUAUGUAUUUUAUGCAAUAACACAUAGUUUGUACACACUCUACCUAUAGAACAAAUGUGAGAGAACAAAUUAUUAAUUAAUGU